rnacentral:rRNA from 1 species
GAUGAACGCUGGCGGCGUGCCUAAUACAUGCAAGUCGAGCGAAUGGAUUAAGAGCUUGCUCUUAUGAAGUUAGCGGCGGACGGGUGAGUAACACGUGGGUAACCUGCCCAUAAGACUGGGAUAACUCCGGGAAACCGGGGCCAAUACCGGAUAACAUUUUGAACCGCAUGGUUCGAAAUUGAAAGGCGGCUUCGGCUGUCACUUAUGGAUGGACCCGCGUCGCAUUAGCUAGUUGGUGAGGUAACGGCUCACCAAGGCAACGAUGCGUAGCCGACCUGGGAGGGUGAUCGGCCACACUGGGACUGAGACACGGCCCAGACUCCUACGGGAGGCAGCAGUAGGGAAUCUUCCGCAAUGGACGAAAGUCUGACGGAGCAACGCCGCGUGAGUGAUGAAGGCUUUCGGGUCGUAAAACUCUGUUGUUAGGGAAGAACAAGUGCUAGUUGAAUAAGCUGGCACCUUGACGGUACCUAACCAGAAGGCCACGGCUAACUACGUGCCAGCCGCCGCAGUAA